rnacentral:lncRNA from 1 species
UUCUUUUUGCAAAAAGUUACAGAAUCAACCUUCUCUUUUCCUCAGCCUCUUGCUCACAAGUUUGCCUAGUAUUCCUCCCUCAAAGAAAUAAAAAAAGAAAAAGAAAAAAAGAGAAACAUACGUAAAAAUUACAAAAUAAAACACAACAUUAUAAAACACCUCUAAUGAUCAAUCAGUUAAUCAAAACCCUCCCUAGCUCCACUUAGCCUGACAUCUUUCUCUUCUUAUUUAUUUAUUUAUUUUGGGGGGGUAUAUAGUAGGUGUGUAUAUUUAUGGGGUACAUGAAAUGUUUUGAUACUGGCAUGCAAUGUGUAAUAAUCUAAUCAUGGAAAAUAAGGCACCCAUCCCCUCAAGCAUUUGUCCUUUGUGUUACAAUCCAAUUAUACUUGUUUAGUUAUUUUAAAACAUACAGUUAAAUUAUUAUUGAUUAUUGUCACUUUCCUGAGUUACUUCACUUAGAAUAAUAGUCUCCAGUCUCAUCCAGGUCACUGCAAAUGCUAUUAAUUCAUUCCUUUUUAUGUCUGUGUAGUAUUCCAUUAUAUAUAUACCACAGUUUCUUUAUCCACUUGUUGAUCAAUGGGCAUUUGGGUUGUUUCCACAAUUUUGCAAUCGUGAAUUGUGCUGCUAUAAACGUGUGUGCAAGUAUCUUUUUCUAAUAAUGACUUACUGCUUUGGAAACUUCUUUUAGCCAUGGGUAAACACAGUUUAAACAGAGGUACAAUAUGUAAAACAGACCCAUGGGGACCUGCUUUGGAUGAAGAGAGAGGGCAUUUGUUGGGCAUGGAACAGGGAACUUGGAGCUCCACUGGAUGGCUUCUCACCAAUACCCAUUCCUUGCUCAGAGAGCAGAGUCUGAAAAAUGCCAGGUCAGCUACCACGUUUUUAUUCCCUUUUUUAGUCUCUAUGUCACAUAGCUGCCCAUCUGCAGCGUCUAUCCAUCAGCAGUCCUUGAUGCCACAUUAAGACAUUUUAUCCUGGGAUCCGAUUAUUUAAAUCAAAGGAUUUUACAAAAUUCCUAACCUGUAUCAUUGGAAUAUAUCCUUGCCUUAUUCCUUAUUAUGUACAUUAUCGGACUGUAAACAAAAAAAAGAAUAUCUUUUUUCUGAGAAAGGGAGAAUCUGCUGGGAGGCAGUCUCAACAGGAUUUAGGAAAUAAAUAACAUAUAAAUUAAUCACAUGAUACAUAAACAAAAAGCAUGGUUCCUAAAAUGAAAUUGGUAGUCAAUGUUGGAAUGUCAAAUAAAAACAACUGACUGUAUCAUUGCCUUAGUAAUAAAAAUUUUCUUGAUUAAAGAAAAAAAGCUGAAGCCAAUUCAGGUUUUAAAAAAAGCAUAUUGAAGAAACAUAUAUAUAGAAGAAGUAAUGCACAGUUGACCUACAAAGAAA